rnacentral:rRNA from 1 species
AGAGAUAUAGCUUGCUAUAUCUCUUGAGAGCGGCGAACGGGUGAGUAACACGUUGGUAUCUGCCCCCAAGUCAGGGAUAGCCAUUGGAAACGAUGAUUAAUACCGGAUAGUCUCUUCGGAGUAAAAAUUUAUUGCUUGGGGAGGAGCCUGCGUUCUAUCAGCUAGUUGGUGAGGUAAUAGCUCACCAAGGCUAUGACGGAUAACUGGUCUGAGAGGAUGACCAGUCACAAUGAAACUGAGACACGGUUCAUACUCC